rnacentral:rRNA from 1 species
UGGCUGUCGUCAGCUCGUGCCGUGAGGUGUUGGGUUAAGUCCCGCAACGAGCGCAACCCCUAUUGCCAGUUGCUACCAGGUAAUGCUGGGCACUCUGGUGAGACUGCCCCGGUUUAACGGGGAGGAAGGUGGGGACGACGUCAAGUCAUCAUGGCCCUUACGCCUAGGGCUACACACGUACUACAAUGGCGCAUACGAAGGGCAGCGAUACCGCGAGGUGGAGCCAAUCCCAAAAAGUGCGUCCCAGUCCGGAUUGCAGUCUGCAACUCGACUGCAUAAAGUUGGAAUCGCUAGUAAUUCGAGAUCAGCAUGCUCGGGUGAAUGCGUUCCCGGGCCUU